GCAGAACUCCAAUGUUUGAUGGGUGAUUUACUUGGAAGAUAUUCUGAUCUAAUGGAUGGUUUCAAUGAAUUUUUGACACGAUGCGAGAGGAACGAUGGAUUUCUUGCUGGUGUCAUGAGUAGAAAGUCAUUGUGGAAUGAAGGAAGUUUGCCUAGAACAGUGCAAGUGGAGGAUAGGGACAGAGAUAGAGACCGUGACCGUGAGAAAGAGG
rnacentral:misc_RNA from 1 species